rnacentral:rRNA from 1 species
UACGGAGGGUGCGAGCGUUGUCCGGAAUCACUGGGCGUAAAGGGCGCGUAGGCGGCCUGAUAAGUAGGGGGUGAAAAUCCUGCGGCUUAACCGCAGGGCUGCCUUCUAAACUGUCGGGCUAGAGCACGGUAGAGGCAGAUGGAAUUCCCGGUGUAGCGGUGGAAUGCGUAGAGAUCGGGAAGAACAUCAGUGGCGAAGGCGGUCUGCUGGGCCGUUGCUGACGCUGGAGGCGCGACAGCGUGGGGAGGCGAACAG